rnacentral:rRNA from 1 species
GUGAGGAAUAUUGCGCAAUGGAGGCAACUCUGACGCAGCCAUGCCGCGUGCAGGAAGAAGGCGCUACGCGUUGUAAACUGCUUUUAACCGGGAAGAAACCCCAGGACGUGUCCUGGGUUGACGGUACCAGAGGAAUAAGCACCGGCUAACUUCGUGCCAGCAGCCGCGGUAAUACGAAGGGUGCAAGCGUUAUCCGGCUUCAUUGGGUUUAAAGGGUGCGUAGGCGGAGCGUUAAGUCAGUGGUGAAAUCCUGCAGCUUAACUGUAGACUUGCCAUUGAUACUGGCGCUCUUGAGUGCGCUUGAAGUGGGCGGAAUGUGCCGUGUAGCGGUGAAAUGCUUAGAUAUGGCACAGAACACCAAUUGCGAAGGCAGCUCACUAAGGCGAUACUGACGCUGAGGCACGAAAGCGUGGGGAUCGAACAGGAUUAGAUACCCGGGUAGUCC